UCCAGUGUGGUAUAGUGGUUUGAGCACCGGACUACGAUUCUGGAGACCAGGACUCGAAUCCCUGCUCUGCCA